UAUUUAUUAGUUUAAAAAAAACAUUAUAUUUUCAAUAUAAAAUUAAUUAAAAUAAUAAAAAUUAUAAAUAU
rnacentral:tRNA from 1 species